GAGUUUGAUCAUGGCUCAGAUUGAACGCUGGCGGCAUGCUUUACACAUGCAAGUCGGACGGCAGCACAAAGAAGCUUGCUUCUUGGGUGGCGAGUGGCGAACGGGUGAGUAAUGCAUCGGAACGUACCGAGUAGUGGGGGAUAACUGUCCGAAAGGAUGGCUAAUACCGCAUACGCUUUGAGAAGGAAAGCGGGGGAUCUUCGGACCUCGCGCUAUUCGAGCGGCCGAUGUCUGAUUAGCUGGUUGGUGGGGUAAAGGCCUACCAAGGCGACGAUCAGUAGCGGGUCUGAGAGGAUGAUCCGCCACACUGGGACUGAGACACGGCCCAGACUCCUACGGGAGGCAGCAGUGGGGAAUUUUGGACAAUGGGCGCAAGCCUGAUCCAGCCAUGCCGCGUGUCUGAAGAAGGCCUUCGGGUUGUAAAGGACUUUUGUCAGGGAAGAAAAGCUUGAGGCUAAUACCCUUGAGUGAU
rnacentral:rRNA from 1 species